rnacentral:tRNA from 1 species
AAGGGUAUAGCUCAGUGGUAGUGUGUGCGCUUAGGAUGCAGGAGGUCCUGGGUUCAAUCCCCAGUACCUCUG